ensembl:lncRNA
CCUUCCUGGUUAAAUAAAGGUUAAAUAAAAAAAAAAAAAAAAUACAACUGUCGUACCCCAUCAGAACCAAACAUAUGAGCUUGUUUUACUCCAUUGCUUGUAAAUAACGUGCAUGUUAUCAAACACUGUAUAGCCUCAAAACAUGGUUAAAUGAUACAUAUGCGGUGGAUCACAACGAAGACGUGGAACUUCCCAUGGAGCAACGUGUUAGCGCCGGGCUUCUUAUAGCGGAAGGUUACAUGCAACGUGUUAGCGCCGGGCUUCUUAUAGCGGAAGGUUACAUGCACCAUGGAGCAACGUGUUAGUGCCGGGCUUCUUAUAG